AUUGAACGCUGGCGGCAGGCCUAACACAUGCAAGUCGAGCGAGCGUCGGACGGGUGAGUAAUGUAUGGGGACUGCCCGAUAGCGGGGGAUAACUACUGGAAACGGUGUCUCAUACCCCGUACUGUCUUAUAAUCCAUAUGGGAUUUGCUAGUGGGUAAGGUAAUGGCUUACCUAGGCGACGAUCCCUCGCUGGUCUGAGAGGAUGAUCAGCCAAACUGGGACUGAGACACGGCCCAGACUCCUACGGAGGCAGCAGUGGGGAAUAUUGCACAAUGGGCGAAAGCCUGAUGCAGCCAUGCCGCGUGUAUGAAGAAGGCCCUAGGGUUGUAAAGUACUUUCAGUCGGGAGGCGUUACCGACAGAAGAAGCACCGGCUAACUCCGUGCCAGCAGCCGCGGUAAUUC
rnacentral:rRNA from 1 species